ACGACUACGAUUUCGGAACGCUCAUACACAACGACUUCCCAAAACACCACUACCUCUGAGUCGGUGACAACGGAAGCGAAAACCAAGUCCGCGGCAAGCCCUUCGACCACGAUGCCGGAACGAUCAGAGGCAACGACAUCGCAAGAAACCACAAUUUCCAAGUCAGCAGAAUUAUCGACUGUGGACGUGACGAGCAAGCCGAUGACGAGCCCUACGACCACGAUGUCAGACACAACGACAUCGCAAGAAACCACCGCCUC